CACCCAGGCUAUAGUGCAAUGGCGUGAUCUCAGCUCACUGCAACCUCCACCUCCCUGAUUCAAGUGAUUCUCCUGCCUCAGCCUUCUGAGUAGCUGGGAUUAUAGGCGCGCGCCACCACGCCCAGCUAAUUUUUGUAUUUUAAUAGAGACGGGGUUUCACCAUAUUGGCCAGGCUGGUCUCCGAGCUCCUGACCUCAGGUGAUCCGCCUGCUUUGGCCUCUCAAAGUGCUGGGAUUAUAGGCGUGAGCCACCGCGUCCGGCCCAGGGACACGAUUAUUAAAGGGCAGAGAGCCAGACUGGGGAGGCAGGUGUGCUCCAUUCCCAAGCCCAUGCUUGCCCUGGCUCUGCCGGGAAGACAGUAGGUGCUUUGCUUCCUGAGAAAGGUCAGGAAGAGGCGUGGCUCCUCCAGCUGUACAGACGACCAGGCCAGAUCCACAUGGCCCCGUUUGGUGCUUGGAUGUCUGGUAAACUGCCUGCCAAGGAGGAACGCAGAGGUGAAGCACCUGGUCCGACCCAUCAUUUCACGCUGAAUCGCCUGUUGACCCAUCUCACUUGACUGACUCCUGGGAUGGAGGCCUGGCUCCCUCCAAGGCAGCCCCUUGCGUUGGAAGAAAGGCAAUGGUGUGAAGCCUGUCUGGUUGUACCCUCCAGCUGCGGGUCCUUACUCCAGCUCUCAGAACCAGAAGGAAUCUGUCUAAUUGCUCAUCUACUGGAGAGCCCUUGAGAGGGGCUUCUUCAAGGUCCUGGGAACUCCAGAAUGUUCCCCUCCACUUAAAAAACACAAGGAUGGUCUCCAGGCACCUGAGGAAACACAGUCUCCUGCCCUUUAGGAUCAGCCACCUCUGAGGCCAAGACCUGACCCAGAUUCCGGUACCCUUCACAGAAGGAGCCACCACAGUGGAGAAGGAAGCUCAUGGCUUUUGGGCAAGAGCCUCUUUGAAAAGGAGGAAGAGCUCGCAAAGGGUGACGGCAGAGAGAUGCCCAGAAUCUUGCAGGAGGAAGGAGAAUGCAGGUGAGACUAAAGAGCUACAAAGUGAGUGUUCUGGACACUGUGAGAAUCUACAACUGGAGAAGCCAACAUUGCCUGUGGACUGAGAGCCACAUCCCAGAAAGUGAUGUUCAAGUUGAGAUGGGAAAGAUGGGUUGGAAAUGGGGGGGCAGGGGGAUGAGGGAGGAGGAUACUGGGGGAGAAAAGAAAAAUCCUGGCCGAGGAAACUAAGUAUGUCAGGCUUCUGAGGAGUGGGGAGGCAGCAUGGUGGACCAGAGGGGCUUCGAGAAGCCCGAGAGGACAGAGGGAAUGCUUGACACAUCAAGCCUUUGUUUUCUCUCAUCCAGAUGUCCAGUGGUCUCAGGCAAAGGCCCAGGCAAUGGAAGCUUCCCAUGGGGCCCUCUACCUCUUCACUGCUCCAGGUGGGCCCAGGCUCAUCAGACCACAGGCCCCCCAUCGCCUUCUCAGGGGCUCCCCCAUGCUAGCCGGGAAAUCAAGGUCAACACAGGCUCCACACUCCCCUGAGUCCUGCACCUACCCCAGGCUUGCUGAGGGCCUCCAGAGGACAGCUUCUGUCCCUCCUACCACAGGUUGGAUCUACAGCCUGACCUGGCCAUUCCUCCAGUGUUUGGAGAAUCAUUGCCUAGCCUUCAUUCAGGAGCCAGAUUGCCUGGGCUAGAAUCCCAGCUCCACCAUUCACCAGCUGUGUAAACUCCCUGGGCCUCAGUUUUCUCACCUGUAAAAUGGGAUUCAUUGGACUGUUAUGGAUUAAAUGAGUUGACGUUUAUAAAGAACUUAGAAGAACACCUUAUUUAUUUGUUAUGUAUAAAAUGAAAUUCCAUCCUGCCUAAUAAAUAUCGGGAACAGCUCUGGGUGGAGAGGUGAUGUGCCAGGGAGGGGUCAUCUCAAGUCUAAGAGAUAGAGGGUGACCCAUCUGGUAGCAGACAGCAGCGGAAGCUGCUUGCCUGGCCUCUCUGGGUUUGAGGGCAGGGAUGUCUCUUCUAGCUUGAACACAGCCUACACUCCAGUUCUGUGACUUCAGGUGGGUUUGGCAUCAAAAGCCUUCAGGGCUCCUCUUAUGUGAUCAUGAGUUUCCUGUUGAGAUCCUUCUGGCUGGAACAAGCUUCUUGAUCCCCCAGAAGUGCCCAGUACUUUUGUCACCUGUGUCUGUGCCUUUGCUUGGGGAUGCUGGGACUACAGAGCAAUAGAUUUUCUCUCUGUCUCACCUUCUGUUUUCUUCUUUGUUCUUCUCCAUCUCAAAAAGGAAGGAGCAAAAUGCCUCUGCUCAGGGGUAGAUUUUUCUGUCCAAGCUGAAUCAGGUUACCUCCCAAUUAUUUGUUAAUGGGAAACAGCCAGUCCUUCCAUCUGGGGGACACACAAUUGUGUAAUAUAUGCCAUCCCAGUUGAUCCUCAAUAACCUGUACAGCAGGCAGAGCUUGGCCUAUGCCACAGAUGCAGAAACUGAGGCUCAAAGGGCCAAGAGAACUUGUGCUCGGCCAGAAAACCUGUUGUAAAGAAUCACCAUCAAUUCUAUGACCUGUUACAUGUGCACAGUCUUUGUAAUUUACAAAGCAUCUUCACAGCCAGUUUCCUAAGGGAGCAUCACAAAACCCCUGCAGAGUAAAACAGGGCAGCUAUUAUUAUUCGUGAUUUACAGAUGGGAAAACAAGGGCUUGGAAGAUCAGAGAUAUUCACGUUGUUCCAUGGCUAACGUUGUUCCAUGGUUCAGUUAAAUUCAGCAAGCAUUUAUUGAGCACCUACUGUAUGUCAGCCCCUGUCCUAGGUCCUGGGGAACUAAAGAGAAUGAGAAAUGGCCCCCCGCUCUUGAGGAGCUAAUUUUUGAGACAAUGUGAUAGAUGCCUUCAGGAUGGGUGAUCACAGGGCUCUGAGGCAGCUCACAGAGAAGCAGGUAUUAGGGAGGCUUCUUGGAAAAGCUGACAUCUGAGCUGAGUCUUAAAGGAUGAAUAGGAAUUGACCAGGUAAGUAAAGGUGAGACAGACAUUUGGAGCUAAGAGACAGGGCUAGGGCUAAGCACAGAGUACGGGUCCAGGUCGUGUGUGCAAAAGCCACAGGUAGUUGGUUCUUACAGAAUAGACACUUUGAAGCCACAUCUCCUGCUACGGCUUGAUCCACUGUAACAAGCAGGAGAAUGACCUCUAUGUAUGUGCAUGCACGUGUGUGUGUGUGUGUGUGAGAGAGAGAGAGAGAGAGAGAGAAAGAGAGAGUAUGUGUGUGUGUGCGCGCGCGCGUGUGUGUGUGUGCAGGCAGGCAGUGGUGGCAGCAUCAUACAUUUAG
rnacentral:lncRNA from 10 species